CAUUCUUAGAACUGCUGCUUUGGGCCCUCUGCCCUAACUGUUCUCAUCCCUUGGAGACCUCUGCACAAAAGUUGGAAAUGUAACACCAAGGAAAGUUCUGGAUGUGCAGGAGCUUGGUUUAUACUUCCUGGUUUAUUCAUCACUCAAAAAAGACACACAAAUGUUGCUCUUGAGUCAUGCCUGAUCACUGACUGCAGUGUUCCAAGGCAUGAGACCUCUCCGUGAAGAGUGCUUCUUUGGGGAGCUGUGGAACAAAAUGGCAGCAAGCAUUUACAGCCAUCCAGCUAAGGAAAAAAAGAUGAAUCCUGGAUCAUUAGUCAUCAAUUGCUGCUGAUUGGGAAAGUGUAACUAGAACAUUCUAAAUCCCUAUUCACCCUAGAUAGAGAAGGCAAAGACAGACGAAAAAGAAAAUGCCAUCCAAGCCUAGCCUGAUGAACCAAUGAGAUUAUCGGGGUUAAGGAGCAUGGAUACCUACCUGCAAAGCGGCUUCAUGGUGGGAAAGAAAGCCCUGGUGAAGAAUGGGUGUGCAAGCUGAAGUCUCCAUCUGCCUCUGCUACACUCCGGGAGUUGGAGAAGAGAUCAACAGAGCACAGCACACUCACAGGGAGAGCUGGCCAUGGUCUCAAAGGACAGUCUCUGAGUUGACCAGAAUUCCACCAAGUGACAAUCUACUGGAGCCAACCACCAAUAUCCUUUGGUCCAAGGAAUAGAAAACCUCCCCAAAUGUGAACAUGCCAAUGGAGACAUUGUGUCUCCAUUGAAUUUUUGCAUAAUUGUCAAGGUCCCUACCUGUCUUCCCUUCAAAGUAGCUACUGUAAUUGGAGUAUUAAUUAGAGUGGCAUGUAGGGCAGAGCUGAAAGUGUUCUCAAGCCACACACAGCUCUAUCAUUCUGGGAAAGAACAAUAUUGGCUCAAGGCACUUAAGCAUGACUUAAGUUUGUGGGACAGGUACUGUCCCUAUGGGCUGAGUAGAAAUUAG